GUCAAGCCGCUUGACUUGAAUUUUCAUUCCCGUUGAAUUGAAAUAAAAUGAAGCCGCCAUAUUGUUUAACCGGCAUGGAAUUUGGCCAACAGACGUGCUUUUUCGCCAUAUGUUGACCCUGACAAUAAACUUUACCACGUAAAACCUUAAAAGCUUAAAACAGAUCCCACGCCAAUUAAAACCCAACUUUAUUUCCAACAAAAUACAGUUGAAAAUCAUUUAACCGUGAAGCUUACGUAGAACUAUUUACUUACCAAUUAAAAAGCAACUCUAUGGCAAUCCAAUUAUAGUUGAAAUUCACAUAAGCGUGAAGCAUUUAUACAAUCAUACGGUCAUUUUACUUCAGCUAGUAUCCUCAAUAUUCAUCUCCCGCUCUAUUGUUUGUUAUGUUUUAUUGCCCUCCCGUUCUAGCACAUCAUUCAAUUUUAAGUGCACAGGUGCACGUAAUCGCCUUCUCUUUCCCACUUGUUUAUAUCCGACACUUUUGGGUCAGUCCCGCUUUAAGCUUUGCGCAUGACGGACGUGUUUUUAAUGCGUUGAAAAAUUUCAUGUUUUUUAAAUAAAAGUUUUGUUUUUAUCGUUUUCCUGGAUUCUUUUGUUGUUUGUGUGGUCAAGUGAAGUGUAAGUGAGUGUGUUUUGAGUGAUACACUUGGCAGAUACGAUAUCGGAUGUCCUUUACUCCUUUUGUUCCUUGGAAACGGUUCGUUCACGGAAUUCAGUACGACAUUAUUAAUACCGUCAAAUAACGUAUCUGCCAAGAGUGUCAUUGUAAAAAUAUCAAUUUAGAGCUCGAAAAACUGUGUUUGGAUGCCAAAAAACAAAUCUGUUAUAAAUGCAGCGCACUAGUGUAAAAGUGACGCAAUAUU